UACGAAGGGGGCUAGCGUUGCUCGGAAUCACUGGGCGUAAAGCGCACGUAGGCGGGUCGUUUAAGUCAGGGGUGAAAUCCUGGAGCUCAACUCCAGAACUGCCCUUGAUACUGGCGAUCUCGAGUUCGGGAGAGGUGAGUGGAACUGCGAGUGUAGAGGUGAAAUUCGUAGAUAUUCGCAAGAACACCAGUGGCGAAGGCGGCUCACUGGCCCGAUACUGACGCUGAGGCACGAAAGCGUGGGGAGCAAACAGG
rnacentral:rRNA from 1 species